CAACAAAACGUCGCCGACGUUUUGUGUGCAUGGUUAACACGUAGAUGAAAAGCUCUCCCUCGUCCUAGCAUGAAAUUUUUUUUUCCUUAGUAACCCCUUCUUUUUCCCAUUUCUUUGUCUUCUCUUCUCAGUUCCACUACAAAACGGCUUUCUUUCACCAUUAUCAUUUCAAAAAUGCUAGGAAACCAAGAUGGUUUCAGCCAAAAACCUGCCAACUCUUAUUGGGCUGAAAACAUGAAGCCCAAUCCACUUCAACAACAUCCCAAAUUAACCUAGGUAAACAUAAUUAACCUAACUGAACCCUCUCUUCUCCUUUCACCGUUUCACCGUAUCAGACCUCCAAAACCAUCCACGGCAGUGCCACACCACCAGGCUCAUCGCGUGGCGUUCUCCUCCGCCCUCGACGGCCGCUGCCCCUUGGUCCACAUCGUGCGGGCAACAUCAAUCCUCCAUAGCUUGCUUCAGAACGCUGCAAAGCUUCUCUCCCGUGGACUUGGUCACUGGCGCGUCAGUCGGAGUCACGCCCAUCUCCGCCGCAACGACAUCGUGCCACCCAGUUGCGAGGAACAAGACGGUUCUGCUUGUCGCCAAGAGUGCGCCGCUGCUGCUGCAUGUUGGUGUUGGCGGCGCCAUUGAAGCAUCUUUGUCCUGCUACCACGAACGCAACAGAACGCCCCCUGCCCUAGCCUCAAAACAUCCCUGACGAGAACUAAUUGUUUCCAUUAAAGGAUUCGGGGCUGUUUCUUGUGAAACCAUAAUAGGAUUGUUUUGCAGAAAAGCCAACCAACAUGGGGAAAAAGGUAAAAUGAUGUCUACCAUUCUCAUUUUAACAUUCCACAUGAUCCUAUGUGUGACUUACAACUAGUGUUACAAUUAACAGAAAUUUUUAGAGUCGCGAUGCUCGCCUAAUUACAUACAUGACAUGAUGAGCACGCUAUAUAAAAAAAACUCCGUUGAGAAGUUUGCAGAGAUUGAUGAGAUCAGAUUCGGAUUCUUGAGGCUUGUUCCGAAUUGGUCGGUAAAGCAAGCCAUCAUGGUUCACCUGGCCGAGUCGUAUCAAGUUAAGCCAAAAACUUUUAUACUCGACAUUGGCAACAUCUGCCUCAAUGCCGAGUUAAUCGGGAGGAUUUUUGGCAUUCCGUCCUGAGGCGAUCCAUUCCCAUUCCUAGAUGACAGUAAUCCGUGCCACAUGGCCAUCAAAAAGAGGUUCCAUAGACGGACAAUAACUGAACUCCAAAAUUUAGUUUACAGCUGUCCAAUGGCAACAGAAUCAGAUAGGAUGAAGUUCAGGAGAUAUUUCCUACUGGUGGUAAUGAAAAUGUUUAUGUGCCCCACCACUCAACAGGUAAUUUCACCAUGGCACAUUUACCCUGUCUUAGAUGUUUUUGAUCCACGAAGAUUCAACUAGCCGUUGCAAACUCUAAAGUGGUUCGACAAGGCAGUCGAGAAGUAUAAGCUAAAAGGGAAAAAAAUUUGUGAAAGCUGCAUGUUCGUCAUGCUGGUAGGAUGCAAUGACUAUUAGUAAAUUCAGUAUGCCAUUUUUUUAUGUAGAACAUAACUUGUAGAAAAUUAAUUUCCUAUGCAUUAGUUUCGAGAGUUCAGGCACUAGUACUGUUAUUCGUAUGAGAUAUACUGAUAUGUUGUUGAAUUACUUGAAUCUUUGUUGACUAAUUUUAGAUAUUUCAGCAUAUGAUUUCAGUUGAAUGUUUCAUGUCACUAGUUCUGAGUGCCUUGCUAUAUAUCUCUUAUAUAUGCUAGCUGAUGUUCUUCCUUGUGUAAUGGGUGUUUUGUAAGAAAA